AGGAGGAGGAGGAGAAGAAAGAGAAAGAGAAAGAGGAGGAGAAGGGGGGACAGAGCGGCAGAGAGAGGAAAAAAGAACCAGGCGUACCAGUCUGGACACAUUUAAAGCCUGAACCCAUUCAACAGCUGCACCAACCACCGCUCAUUCCUGCUGCACACGCUCCACCGCCUGCCUGCAGGGAGACCCAGUGGAGAAGUACCAUGCACUGGAGAGCGUCCUUCAGGGAGGUGACAGCCGACUUCAGAGCAACGCUGAGAGCCACCUGACAGCAAAGGUGCCCGGUGGCCACAGAGGAGCCCAGUCCAGGUACAUCAGCCUCCAAGAAAAGGAGAAGUCUAAAGGCAGCAUCCUCCCCAGCAAGUUUUGUUCUAGGCAUCAGUCUGCCCGACGUCCACUGUGGAACUGGGGCCUGUGAAGAAUGAUGACGAGAGGUGCUGGGACUGCUUUCUCGAGGAAGAGCUCCAGGCUGACCCUUGGGCCAGAGAAGUCCAAGCUCACA